AUAAUGGCCGAAAAUCUAAGGUUUCUUGGGGAAGGUUCGUCCGCCCAAGGUAAGUCGGGAGCUAAGCUCAGGCCGCGAGGCGUAGGCGAUGCACAUACGGUAGAAAUUCCGUAACCACCGAACUUUAAGCAUGAGGGACACUUUGAGAUAGCGGAACCCGGGCGUUGGUUGACCCGGGCGAAAGGGACCGAAAUAUAGUAGGGAAGUCCGCGAUGCUCGGAGGCGAGAAAAGCUCAUGUGUAUACUAAGGUGCCCGUACCGCAAACCGACACAGGUAGAUGAGGAGAGAAUCCUAAGGCCAACGGGAGAAGGGUUGUUAAGGAACUCGGCAUAUUGACCCCGUAACUUCGGAAGAAGGGGUGCCUCCGCAAGGAGGCCGCAGUGAAAAGGCCCAGGCGACUGUUUAUCAAAAACACAGGUCUCUGCAAAACCGAAAGGUGAAGUAUAGGGGCUGACGCCUGCCCGGUGCUGGAAGGUCAAGGGGACUGCUUAGCGCAAGCGAAGGCAUGAACUUAAGCCCCAGUAAACGGCGGCCGUAACUAUAACGGUCCUAAGGUAGCGAAAUUCCUUGUCAGGUAAGUUCUGACCCGCACGAAAGGCGUAACGAUCUGGGCACUGUCUCAACAGCCCGCCCGGCGAAAUUGUAGUACCGGUGAAGAUGCCGGUUACCCGCGACUAGACGGAAAGACCCCAUGGAGCUUUACUGUAGCUUGAUACUGAGAUUCGGUGAAUUAUGCACAGGAUAGGUGGGAGACUGUGAAACAGGUGCUUCGGCGCUUGCGGAGUCGCUGUUGGGAUACCACUCUUGAUUCACUGGAUUUCUAACCUGCGGCCGUGAAUCCGGCCGGGGGACAAUGUCAGGUGGGCAGUUUGACUGGGGCGGUCGCCUCCAAAAGAGUAACGGAGGCGUUCAAAGGUCGGCUCAGCGCGGACGGAAAUCGCGCAUAGAGUGUAAACGCAUAAGCCGGCCUAACUGCGAGACAGACAAGUCGAGCAGUAACGAAAGUUGGAGUUAGUGAUCAGGUGGUAGUGAAUGGAAAUGCCAUCGCUUAACGGAUAAAAGCUACCCUGGGGAUAACAGGCUGAUCUCCCCCAAGAGUUCACAUCGACGGGGAGGUUUGGCACCUCGAUGUCGGCUCAUCACAUCCUGGAGCGGAAGUACGUUCCAAGGGUUGGGCUGUUCGCCCAUUAAAGUGGUACGCGAGCUGGGUUCAGAACGUCGUGAGACAGUUCGGUCCCUAUCUGUCGUG
rnacentral:rRNA from 1 species